rnacentral:rRNA from 1 species
UACAUGCAAGUCGAGCGGACAGAAGGGAGCUUGCUCCCGGAUGUUAGCGGCGGACGGGUGAGUAACACGUGGGUAACCUGCCUGUAAGACUGGGAUAACUCCGGGAAACCGGAGCUAAUACCGGAUAGUUCCUUGAACCGCAUGGUUCAAGGAUGAAAGACGGUUUCGGCUGUCACUUACAGAUGGACCCGCGGCGCAUUAGCUAGUUGGUGAGGUAACGGCUCACCAAGGCGACGAUGCGUAGCCGACCUGAGAGGGUGAUCGGCCACACUGGGACUGAGACACGGCCCAGACUCCUACGGGAGGCAGCAGUAGGGAAUCUUCCGCAAUGGACGAAAGUCUGACGGAGCAACGCCGCGUGAGUGAUGAAGGUUUUCGGAUCGUAAAGCUCUGUUGUUAGGGAAGAACAAGUGCAAGAGUAACUGCUUGCACCUUGACGGUACCUAACCAGAAAGCCACGGCUAACUACGUGCCAGCAGCCGCGGUAAUACGUAGGUGGCAAGCGUUGUCCGGAAUUAUUGGGCGUAAAGGGCUCGCAGGCGGUUUCUUAAGUCUGAUGUGAAAGCCCCCGGCUCAACCGGGGAGGGUCAUUGGAAACUGGGAAACUUGAGUGCAGAAGAGGAGAGUGGAAUUCCACGUGUAGCGGUGAAAUGCGUAGAGAUGUGGAGGAACACCAGUGGCGAAGGCGACUCUCUGGUCUGUAACUGACGCUGAGGAGCGAAAGCGUGGGGAGCGAACAGGAUUAGAUACCCUGGUAGUCCACGCCGUAAACGAUGAGUGCUAAGUGUUAGGGGGUUUCCGCCCCUUAGUGCUGCAGCUAACGCAUUAAGCACUCCGCCUGGGGAGUACGGUCGCAAGACUGAAACUCAAAGGAAUUGACGGGGGCCCGCACAAGCGGUGGAGCAUGUGGUUUAAUUCGAAGCAACGCGAAGAACCUUACCAGGUCUUGACAUCCUCUGACAACCCUAGAGAUAGGGCUUUCCCUUCGGGGACAGAGUGACAGGUGGUGCAUGGUUGUCGUCAGCUCGUGUCGUGAGAUGUUGGGUUAAGUCCCGCAACGAGCGCAACCCUUGAUCUUAGUUGCCAGCAUUCAGUUGGGCACUCUAAGGUGACUGCCGGUGACAAACCGGAGGAAGGUGGGGAUGACGUCAAAUCAUCAUGCCCCUUAUGACCUGGGCUACACACGUGCUACAAUGGACAGAACAAAGGGCUGCGAGACCGCAAGGUUUAGCCAAUCCCACAAAUCUGUUCUCAGUUCGGAUCGCAGUCUGCAACUCGACUGCGUGAAGCUGGAAUCGCUAGUAAUCGCGGAUCAGCAU